AGUGAACGCUGGCGGUAGGCCUAACACAUGCAAGUCGAACGGCAGCACAGUAAGAGCUUGCUCUUACGGGUGGCGAGUGGCGGACGGGUGAGGAAUACAUCGGAAUCUACUUUUUCGUGGGGGAUAACGUAGGGAAACUUACGCUAAUACCGCAUACGACCUACGGGUGAAAGCAGGGGAUCUUCGGACCUUGCGCGAUUGAAUGAGCCGAUGUCGGAUUAGCUAGUUGGCGGGGUAAAGGCCCACCAAGGCGACGAUCCGUAGCUGGUCUGAGAGGAUGAUCAGCCACACUGGAACUGAGACACGGUCCAGACUCCUACGGGAGGCAGCAGUGGGGAAUAUUGUACAAUGGGCGCAAGCCUGAUCCAGCCAUACCGCGUGGGUGAAGAAGGCCUUCGGGUUGUAAAGCCCUUUUGUUGGGAAAGAAAAGCAGCAGGUUAAUACCCCGCUGUUCCGACGGUACCCAAAGAAUAAGCACCGGCUAACUUCGUG
rnacentral:rRNA from 1 species